AACGAACGCUGGCGGCAUGCCUAACACAUGCAAGUCGAACGAAGGCUUCGGCCUUAGUGGCGCACGGGUGCGUAACGCGUGGGAAUCUGCCCUUUGCUUCGGAAUAACAGUUAGAAAUGACUGCUAAUACCGGAUGAUGUCGCAAGACCAAAGAUUUAUCGGCAAAGGAUGAGCCCGCGUAGGAUUAGCUAGUUGGUGGGGUAAAGGCCUACCAAGGCGACGAUCCUUAGCUGGUCUGAGAGGAUGAUCAGCCACACUGGGACUGAGACACGGCCCAGACUCCUACGGGAGGCAGCAGUGGGGAAUAUUGGACAAUGGGCGAAAGCCUGAUACAGCAAUGCCGCGUGAGUGAUGAAGGCCUUAGGGUUGUAAAGCUCUUUUACCCGGGAUGAUAAUGACAGUACCGGGAGAAUAAGCUCCGGCUAACUACGUG
rnacentral:rRNA from 1 species